GCUAAUGGCAAGGGGAGGGCCCGGUGCGCCUGGUUACCCCCAGGGGUGGGGACAACGGGGAGGCCUGCCUGGAAUAUCUGGGGCCUCCCCUCAGCCCCGAAGGAGUCCCAGCGGGGACGUCAAGGUCAAGGGCUGCCGGAGGUGUUGGGUACCAGGUGACCUGGAAGUAGAGCGAACAGCCCGUCCUGCUCCAUGGAGGUCACAGAACACGCGCGAGCUGGGCCCUGGGCCUCAGCAGAGCUGCAGCACCUCCUCUCCAGCUCAUGGGCUCCCCAGGACAACCAACGAGGAGGUGAGGAUGGACAGCGACCAUCAAGCGUUAGAGAAAAAUGGCGCUUAGGGGACGCAGAGACUGAGGAGGCAGCCGGGAAACUGCCUUCCCUGCGAGGGGACUGAACAGACUUGAGCGCACGGAGGAAGGGUGCGU
rnacentral:lncRNA from 1 species